rnacentral:rRNA from 1 species
UACGAAGGGGGCUAGCGUUGCUCGGAAUCAUGCUGGGCGUAAAGGGUGCGUAGGCGGGUCUUUAAAGUCAGGGGUGAAAUCCUGGAGCUCAACUCCAGACUGCCUUUGAUACUGAGGAGUCUUGAGUAUGGGAGAGGUGAGUGGAACUGCGAGGUGUAGAGGUGAAAUUCGUAGAUAUUCGCAAAGAACACCAGUGGCGAAGGCGGCUCACUG